rnacentral:rRNA from 1 species
CCCUUAGAUGUUCUGGGCCGCACACGCGCUACACUGAAGGAGGCAGCGUGUACUCCUGGAUCGAAAGAUUUGGGUAACCCGCGAAUCUCCUUCGUGCUAGGGAUUGAGGUUUGCAAUUAUCCUUCAUGAACGAGGAAUUCCCAGUAAGUGCAAGUCAUAAGCUUGCGCUGACUACGUCCCUGCCCUUUGUACACACCGCCCGUCGCUACUACCGAUUGAAUGAUUUAGUGAGGACUUCGGACUGGGACCGAUGCGGCUUUCGGGCUGCGUCGGUAUUCUGGAAAGAUGUCCAAACAGUAUCAUUUAGAGGAAGUAAAAGUCGUAACA